GGGUGAGAGAGCGCUUUUUUGUUGUUGUUGUUGUGCUAAGCUAAAAGGCAGAAUGCUACAGGCAUAGCUCUAAAGCAUGUAGCCUGAUGGGCAGUGUAGUCCGUGCUGCAGGGAGAAUGGACUACCAUAAGUCCGAGCUGUCACGGAGCAAAAACGGGAGCUGGAAGCAUGUAAAUAUAAUAAUAACCACAGCAGCCAAGAAGAGUGCCUGACGAGCCCAGCUGAACAGCAAGUGAGCUCCAGCCCACUAUCAUCAGGACUGGGUUACCUGGAGCACAUCUGUCAACUCGUUGAGAAGAUCAGCCAGAUGCAGGAGACUAACCUCCAGCUGCAGAGGCAGCUCUGCAGUCUGCAAAAGGAAUGCAGGAUGAGAAAGGCCAAAGAGGACUUCUUCAAAGACUACUGCAGCUGUGGUGCAGCCAGUUUAGCCUUCCAGGAUUUUCAGAAAACACAAUCCAGAGAUGAGUUUUCAUCACCCAGUGGAACUCUCUCAGACCUGUCAGCCAUUCCAGAGGUCACACAGCACCCACUCAUGUCGACCAGUGGAGGAGUUACAGGUGAUGCUUUAACACUCGUCCCUCCGUGGAGGAAGAGCCUAAACCAAAGGAGUUACACUGAGGGGGAGGUCCACGGGGACAGCACUGAGGGGCUCUCCAUCACUCAGCACACACUGAGUGAAAACAACACAUGGGCCAGAGUCAAAGACAUGGUAAGGAAGACUAAGUUAAGGAAUCACAGCAGGCUGGGAACAGCCUCAGCUUCACUGAAGAUGUCCUGCCCACAGCUCUACAGACCUGAUCUGGAACCAGUACAAUCAUCUGGAACAAGCAGGAACUCUAUGAUUGCCUUGGGCCACCGGAGUACACUGGACUUCCCGUGGCUUGAGUAAGGAUCCAGGUAGUGAAGAGUGCUUUUUAUAAAAGAGCAGAACGACUUUAACAAAGACCAAAUGAUGAUGGCCAGACGACUGGGUUGUAGCAUCUCCAAAAUAAUAAGAACAGUGAUAUAGUUUUGAGUACUAAAGGGUCUGCUAUCCUUAUAGUGACAUAAUUUCAUUAUCAGAAGAUAAACUGUGAAGACUUCUGCAAACCUGGCUGUUUAUUAUGGACUAUACAGAUACACACAUAGCAAAAUGUGCAGGGUCCACAUACAGGGACAUAAAUUAUGACAUGUUUUUACUUAUGUCCUUUUAUUUGUUUGUUUGUUCCUCAUUAAAUGCAAUGCUGUGCAAAAGCCUUGAGGCACCACCAUUUCUUUCAGAUUUUGCUUCCAGACUGUCUUGGAUUUUGUGUAAUAGUUCUCCACUCAGUUUUCACUUUCAAGGCUUUUAUUUAUGAAUGUUUUAUGGAAUCAGGAAAAGGGGAGGACAAAGAGGAUGUAGCAGGUGUAAAAGUAUCUGCAGCACGUGAACAGUAUCUGAAAGUGAUGUACUUAAGAAAUGAGAUCAAAUCCAGCAAAGAUCUGACACAUGACCAGAGAGAUGCAUCUGCCUCAUCUACUCUUCACCAAAGCCUCAUCAGAAACAGCCUCAGUAGAAGGCUGGCUGUCAGGAAGCCAUUCUUAAAGAUGAGGUAUGCCACAGUGCACAGGAACUGGACUGAAAAUCAGUGUCAGCGGGACUGAUGGGGUGCUGAAGCCAAUCAGCGAAUCAAGAUGUGAUUGGCUGAUUUCUGCCACGUGUGUUCUCAGUCAAGAAAUUACUUUAACUGUCUGACUUGUGGCCCAUUUCCAUUGGCAGCCAUAUAUCCCAUACAUGGCUAUUACAUGUUCUCUAUCAUGUUUUAUGCUUUGAAUCAUGAGCUGUUCCUUUCCUCCGUCUUGUGUUUGUUUUUGCAGAAACAGCCUGUCUGAUCGGACCUCCUCGCUCCUGAGUGUAACAAGUAGUUGUAAACUUUCUGUAUUUACAUUCAUGAAGUCAUCUUUUGAUUGUAGACUUUGACAUCUGCUUCUGUGAGACUGUUGUGCUGAGCUGGCUAGUUCAGUCAUUCUUUUUCAAGAAUGUUCAAGACUUUUUAUUUGACAGCUGCUAAAAUCUGCAAUCUCUCCAGCCUAAGUAUGGCCUCUUCCACAGCAGCUCCUGUGACCUCAUAUUGAGACUUGUAGUGCACAGCUACCAAUGCAGGUUCAACAUUUCACAGCACGUCCAGUGUAACAAGAGAAUAAAACAUCAUCUGGCCAUGAAACUGCUUGUCAGCUGUUCUUACUUUGUUAUUUCUUAAUGUUCAGCCUCUGGAAAUGGGAGGUGUAAAAUCCUGUCUGCAUGCUCUCUGUAACUGUGUGAUAAUGUCUUUG
ensembl:lncRNA